UACGAAGGGGGCUAGCGUUGCUCGGAAUCACUGGGCGUAAAGCGCACGCAGGCGGUCCUUUAAGUCAGGGGUGAAAGCCCAGAGCUCAACUCUGGAACUGCCUUUGAAACUAGAGGACUUGGGUACGGGAGAGGUGAGUGGAAUUCCGAGUGUAGAGGUGAAAUUCGUAGAUAUUCGGAAGAACACCAGUGGCGAAGGCGGCUCACUGGCCCGUUACCGACGCUCAGGCGCGACAGCGUGGGGAGCAAACAGG
rnacentral:rRNA from 1 species